GACGAACCGUGCGAACGUUGUUCGGAAUCACUGGGCUUAAAGGGCGCGUAGGCGGCUUGCCAAGUCCGGGGUGAAAGCCUCCAGCUUAACUGGAGAAGUGCCUUGGAUACUGGCGAGCUCGAGCGAGGUAGGGGUGAUGGGAACUUCCGGUGGAGCGGUGAAAUGCGUUGAUAUCGGAAGGAACGCCGGUGGCGAAAGCGCAUCACUGGACCUCUUCUGACGCUGAGGCGCGAAAGCCAGGGGAGCAAACGGGG
rnacentral:rRNA from 1 species